CAGGCCUUGGAUGGAUGGAAUUCUCC
rnacentral:piRNA from 1 species